rnacentral:rRNA from 1 species
ACACGUAGGGGGCGAGCGUUGUUCGGAAUCAUUGGGCGUAAAGGGCGCGCAGGCGGCCCGGUAAGUCUGGUGUAAAAUGGUCGUGCUCAACACGAUCAUGCGCUGGAAACUGCUGGGCUUGAGUCAACGAGGGGAUGCCGGAAUUCCAGGUGUAGGGGUGAAAUCUGUAGAUAUCUGGAAGAACACCGAUGGCGAAGGCAUGCAUCUGGCGACUGACUGACGCUGAGGCGCGAAGGUGCGGGGAGCAAACAGGUUGAGAUCCCCUGGUAGUCCGCACAGUAAACGAUGUGCACCAGGUGGCGGGCAGCAGUGCUCGGUACCGAAGCAAACGCAUUAAGUGCACCGCCUGGGGAGUAUGCUCGCAAGGGUGAAACUCAAAGGAAGUGACGGGG